AUUGAACGCUGGCGGCAGGCCUAACGCAUGCAAGUCGAGCGGCAGCGGGAAAGUAGCUUGCUACUUUUGCCGGCGAGCGGCGGACGGGUGAGUAAUGCCUGGGAAAUUGCCCAGUCGAGGGGGAUAACAGUUGGAAACGACUGCUAAUACCGCAUACGCCCUACGGGGGAAGGCAGGGGACCUCCGCGCCUUGCGCGAUUGGAUAUGCCCAGGUGGGAUUAGCUAGUUGGUGAGGUAAUGGCUCACCAAGGCGACGAUCCCUAGCUGGUCUGAGAGGAUGAUCAGCCACACUGGAACUGAGACACGGUCCAGACUCCUACGGGAGGCAGCAGUGGGGAAUAUUGCACAAUGGGGGAAACCCUGAUGCAGCCAUGCCGCGUGUGUGAAGAAGGCCUUCGUGUUGUAAAGCACUUUCAGCGAGGAGGAAAGGUCAGUAGCUAAUAUCUGCUGACUGUGACGUUACUCGCAGAAGAAGCACCGGCUAACUCCGUGCCAGCAGCCGCGGUAAAAC
rnacentral:rRNA from 1 species